GGCGGACGGGUGAGUAAUGCAUAGGAAUCUGCCCGAUAGUGGGGGAUAACCUGGGGAAACCCAGGCUAAUACCGCAUACGUCCUACGGGAGAAAGGGGGCUCCGGCUCCCGCUAUCGGAUGAGCCUAUGUCGGAUUAGCUGGUUGGUGAGGUAAAGGCUCACCAAGGCGACGAUCCGUAGCUGGUCUGAGAGGAUGAUCAGCCACAUCGGGACUGAGACACGGCCCGAACUCCUACGGGAGGCAGCAGUGGGGAAUAUUGGACAAUGGGGGGAACCCUGAUCCAGCCAUGCCGCGUGUGUGAAGAAGGCCCUCGGGUUGUAAAGCACUUUCAGUGAGGAAGAACGCCUGGUGGUUAAUACCCAUCAGGAAAGACAUCACUCACAGAAGAAGCACCGGCUAACUCCGUGCCAGCAGCCGCGGUAAUACGGAGGGUGCAAGCGUUAAUCGGAAUUACUGGGCGUAAAGCGCGCGUAGGUGGCUUGAUAAGCCGGUUGUGAAAGCCCCGGGCUCAACCUGGGAACGGCAUCCGGAACUGUCAAGCUAGAGUGCAGGAGAGGAAGGUAGAAUUCCCGGUGUAGCGGUGAAAUGCGUAGAGAUCGGGAGGAAUACCAGUGGCGAAGGCGGCCUUCUGGACUGACACUGACACUGAGGUGCGAAAGCGUGGGUAGCAAACAGGAUUAGAUACCCUGGUAGUCCACGCCGUAAACGAUGUCGACCAGCCGUUGGGUGCCUAGCGCACUUUGUGGCGAAGUUAACGCGAUAAGUCG
rnacentral:rRNA from 1 species